AUUGAACGCUGGCGGCAUGCUUUACACAUGCAAGUCGGACGGCAGCACAGAGAAGCUUGCUUCUUGGGUGGCGAGUGGCGAACGGGUGAGUAAUAUAUCGGAACGUACCGAGUAAUGGGGGAUAACUAAUCGAAAGAUUAGCUAAUACCGCAUAUUCUCUGAGGAGGAAAGCAGGGGACCUUCGGGCCUUGCGUUAUUCGAGCGGCCGAUAUCUGAUUAGCUAGUUGGUGGGGUAAAGGCCUACCAAGGCGACGAUCAGUAGCGGGUCUGAGAGGAUGAUCCGCCACACUGGGACUGAGACACGGCCCAGACUCCUACGGGAGGCAGCAGUGGGGAAUUUUGGACAAUGGGCGCAAGCCUGAUCCAGCCAUGCCGCGUGUCUGAAGAAGGCCUUCGGGUUGUAAAGGACUUUUGUCAGGGAAGAAAAGGCUGUUGCUAAUAUCGACAGCUGAUGACGGUACCUGAAGAAUAAGCACCGGCUAACUACGUGCCAGCAGCCGCGGUAAUACGUAGGGUGCGAGCGUUAAUCGGAAUUACUGGGCGUAAAGCGAGCGCAGACGGUUACUUAAGCAGGAUGUGAAAUCCCCGGGCUUAACCUGGGAACUGCGUUCUGAACUGGGUGACUAGAGUGUGUCAGAGGGAGGUAGAAUUCCACGUGUAGCAGUGAAAUGCGUAGAGAUGUGGAGGAAUACCGAUGGCGAAGGCAGCCUCCUGGGAUAACACUGACGUUCAUGCCCGAAAGCGUGGGUAGCAAACAGG
rnacentral:rRNA from 1 species